rnacentral:rRNA from 1 species
CGUAGGGUGCAAGCGUUGUCCGGAAUUAUUGGGCGUAAAGAGCUCGUAGGCGGUUUGUCGCGUCUGCUGUGAAAUCCCGAGGCUCAACCUCGGGCUUGCAGUGGGUACGGCGGACUAGAGUGCGGUAGAGGAGAUGGGAAUUCCUGGUGUAGCGGUGGAAUGCGCAGAUAUCAGGAGGAACACCGGUGGCGAAGGCGCAUCUCUGGGCCGUAACUGACGCUGAGGAGCGAAAGCAUGGGAGCGAACAGGCUU